rnacentral:lncRNA from 1 species
UGAGUACUGGGUCCACUGGAGAGGGAAGAGCCGCGGCCGCGAGGAUUCCCAGCAGCGGCCGCGUGUUGAGAGCCUAGAAGUGGCCCCGAAGCCGUGCCUUUCCCGAUAGCCAAGCAGAAGUAGGACUCGAAGCACCGGGGCUGGGAUGCCCAUGCUGGUGACGCCCUGGGGUUCGCAGUUAUACUUGGCGACCGGUCUACACGGCGAUUCGGUGCUUUUCGGAGUAGCAGAUUCAUCUAUCUUUAGAUCCACCUUCGUCCUUCGGCGGUUUAGCCCGGCCUGCGCUUUCCUGCGAGCCCAGCUGUCACCCAAACAGCCUGAUGACUUCACGCUCAACCACUGGAGGGCACAACCACAUCAUUUUUUAAAAAUAGAUUUCCCCCACUUAAAGGACAUGGUUUUGGGGGAAAGAACAUUUUAAAAAUGUAAAAAGAUAUAUAUCUAUAUCUAUGUAUCUGUCUCAGAUUGUUCUGAUAUAAACUCAGGUGGGAUUCUUCAAAACAGGAGGCUGUUCCAGUCCCUUCAUUUUGCAGCUGAGAAAACGAAGGCCUUGGAGCUUAAGAACUCCAGUUGCCCAUGGCACACAAGUGGUGGGUAAGGAAGCUGAUCAUUUCUCCAAAGAAUCCUUCCAUGACCCAGGAGGAUCCGGUGGGAGAGCAGGGCCGUCCACAGCUCAGCUAGGACACAAGAAGGCCCAGGGUGGCAGGAGCCCCACUGUGUGCUGUGGAGGAUGGCAGAGGAAAAGUCAGCACUGUCCCGAAACUACAGGAUCAUGUGAUGUGAUGGGAAAAAAUUAUGAGUACAAGACACAGGAAGAGCAGGUCACGGAAACACAUGGUGCCCAGAAGGGCUUAACUAGUUGCAGCUGUGCAGGGCGAUGCACAGAGUGCCCCAAGGGUGUCCUGAGUGAGGGUAGAUGUCCCCUGCCUUCUGGCUUCGUGAAGGCUUCGUGAAGCCUGCCGGGUCACCCUUGUUUUCAUGGAUAGCUUCUUUAGGACACUCUCUCCACCAGUAAUUGACAAAGUCUGCUUCUGUUGAGUGUCUGAUAAAGGAUUGAGUUUACAUGAUUGUUAAGAUAGGAUCAUGAAAGAAGACAGAAGACGCAUGUGAGUGGCCCUCAGAAAAAAAGCAUCAAAGGAAACUGAGGAGUCUGUGUUCCGUGUUAUAACAUCAGUCCUGUGUUGAAAGCAUAUUGACUUUCCUGACUUCUUAUGACCACAUUUGAGGAAAGGAGUAAGCACUGGAAUCACCAACACAGCACGCUUACGGAGGGUGGUCACCAGCUUCAUCAGCCUCCCAAUUCCACGGAGC